rnacentral:rRNA from 1 species
AUGGUGAUCAAGACCCAAAAUGGACAAGUUCUGAAAAAAGACAAGGAGGUCAUUGCUAGCCUACUCGAUACAACCGUAAGAACUGUUGAGAGAAUAUGGGAAAGAGCUCUUAAACAGAUUGGAAAAGGGGAGAAAGUUGAUGUCUCAAAUCAAAAGCCAGGUAGAGUUGGCCACAAGCGGAAAGAUUUGGAUCUGUCUAGGGUGGUGAAAAUCCCAUUGAACAGAAGGAGAACAUUGCGAGGUUUGUCAAAGGCAUUGGGUGUAAGCUGCACGACCUUACGCUCAAGGUUC